ACAGCAGUCGCCACGGUAAUACGUAGGUGGCGAGCGUUGUCCGGAAUCAUUGGGCGUAAAGGGAGCGCAGGCGGGCAUGUAAGUCUUUCUUAAAAGUGCGGGGCUCAACCCCGUGAUGGGAAAGAAACUACAUGUCUUGAGUACAGGAGAGGAAAGCGGAAUUCCCAGUGUAGCGGUGAAAUGCGUAGAUAUUGGGAGGAACACCAGUGGCGAAGGCGGCUUUCUGGACUGCAACUGACGCUGAGGCUCGAAAGCCAGGGGAGCGAACGGGAUUAGAUACCCCUGUAGUCCCUGUCUCUUAUACC
rnacentral:rRNA from 1 species